CACGUAGGGUGCGAGCGUUGUCCGGAAUUAUUGGGCGUAAAGAGCUCGUAGGCGGUGUGUCGCGUCGGCCGUGAAAACCUGCAGCUUAACUGUGGGCGUGCGGUCGAUACGGGCAUCACUGGAGUUCGGCAGGGGAGACUGGAAUUCCUGGUGUAGCGGUGAAAUGCGUAGAUAUCUGGAGGAACACCGGUGGCGAAGGCGGCAUUCUGGACCAAUACUGACGCUGAGGAGCGAAAGCCAGGGGAGCAAACGGG
rnacentral:rRNA from 1 species